rnacentral:rRNA from 1 species
UACGUAGGGUGCAAGCGUUGUCCGGAAUUAUUGGGCGUAAAGAGCUCGUAGGCGGUCUGUCGCGUCUGCUGUGAAAACUCGGGGCUUAACCCCGGGCCUGCAGUGGGUACGGGCAGACUAGAGUGCGGUAGGGGAGACUGGAAUUCCCGGUGUAGCGGUGAAAUGCGCAGAUAUCGGGAAGAACACCCGUGGCGAAGGCGGCUCUCUGGGACGGUACUGACGCUGAGACGCGAAAGCGUGGGGAGCGAACAGG